AUUAUUUUUCAGAAUCGAUUUGAGCUAGACUAUAUAGCUGUAUGAUAACAUAAAAUAAUGAUGAAGAUUGAUGUUAUUCUUCACUGUACCAGGUUCCAGAAAACAUGCAGUCUGUAAUCUACCCCCAUGUCAGUGUAGAGAGGCCUGUUCAUGAAGACACAAAAUACUUUGACGACACCAAAACAUAUUACACAGUGUAGAUGGACGGAUAGAAAGCGUGAACAUCAAAAGCCAUCGUGUGUGUUACCAAGUUUCCAUUCUGCAUCUAACAAUAGGAACCAAGCAUCCAACAUCAUAACUUUAUUAUUAAACAUAGCAGAAAGAGCUACAGUGAGUCGGGUGGCGCCGAUGAUACCCCUGCCAUUGAGCAGAUAAUACAGCGUUAGCUGGGGGACUCAUAGCCUUAGCAUGUUCUCCAUGUGUUUAAUUUUAGUAUUUGAGCUUCAAGACAGACUUCUGGUACGACACAGAUAAGUGCCUAUAGGCCCAAUUCACAUCGAAAUGACGUGGCUUUGGAGUGGCGCUGACUUUUUAACAUACAAACAUAAAUGGUUGAAUGCAAACAGAAGUGGCUUGGCGAAAUGCCAAUCCAGUGUGCAUUGGACCAUAGGCCUAUAUGGAGUGCCAAAAUGUCAGUGACAUACCACCACCACGUCACUGUUCAGCUGUUCUUGUUUAUGUUGUAUGCUUGUAAAUAAAUUCAAUUCUAUUAAU